GUCUUUCAUCAUCCAUCCAUGAGGGUUGUGCAGGGGGUCGAUAAGUUUGAGGACCUCGUUGAUUUACACUUUGAGUUGGUUUUUGAGCAGGUUUUUUACCAAAUAUACUACCAACUACACUUGUUCCCGUAUUUAAUAACAUGGGUAACGCCAUACCCAACGCGAUCCCGGCUGCUGGACCGAAACCCCCUAUUUGUUUUCUCUUUCCUUUUUUACCUCUUUUUUUUCUAUACAACGUUCUUCAUUUAUUAUUGGCCAUAAAUUAAUUUUAAUAUUUCGGGGGGGGGGGGGUAUUGUCGUUGUUGUUGUUGUUUAGGUGCUCUUGGCGUUAUUUUCCCUACCCUUGGUAUUUUUGAAUUUGUAGCGUAUUGCGGAUUCAAUUGAGGUGGAGCACAAAUUUUACUUGCUGCACGUUCUUCAAC